CUGUGAAUAAAGUCAACUCCGAUGCAAAACGCGUUAAUAAAGAAACAAAAUACCACAACCCUAGAAAGCAAUCAGCCCUCUGGAUCUCAUAAUAAACACAAAAGUAAAAAUUACAACAGGGAAUACAACAAUAAUUGCUGAAUCUGGAUCUGGUCCCUAUAGUGAUGAAUAUAAAAUUGAAACGAUACUAGAAUGACAGAAUAUAAUAGAUAUCCUCAUAGACAUGCUUAGAUCUGGGUUUUACUCAUCACUUCUAAACAAAAUAAGCCAGUCAAUUCCUUAUCGUAGAGCUUCUCAAACGUCUGCUCGGGCGAAUGGCGAGAAGACGGGGAGGGCGUUGACGGCAACGCGGUCUGGCCAUGUUGCCUAGUGGUAGGAUGUUUGCCUUCUGAUCCUUCUUAACCUUUUAAACCUGCUCUAAUUCUCUUUUCGCGCAGCCUAAAAUCUAAGACGUAAAUAUUGGAAGCAACUGUUCUGUCACGAAGUAUCCGGUAAUAAUUCGUAUAAAAUUUUAUCACUAAAAUUAGUAGGAUGUGUUUCAAUUACCUUUCAAAUAUUUCAGUAUAGUUACUAAAAACCAACAAAAUGUACAUUUAGCAAAAUGAUCUGUGAGUUAAAUAGAUGCAGAUAUCAGUAACUAUAAGUUUUAUACUAUUGAUUUAGAAUGGAUAAAAAAGCCUACAUUGUAUAUAAAGCAAUUAAUUAGAAUACUAUAUUAUGCGCAUUUUAUUCCAUUGUACGUGCUCAUUGUACCGUAAAAUCAUUUUAAUUCGUAGGAAUCAAUGUUCAUGGAUAAACAUUUUUUUUUGGUUAUGGGGACAUAAUUGUAUUGGUAACACAAUUAUUCAUGAAAUUAAAAAUAAAAUAAAUAUGUAGACAAAAAUGCUUUGUGGAUGUAAAUUCGUAGAUAACGGUGACUCACGAAAUCCAAGAACAUCGGUACAACACGGACAUUGGUGAUUCCACAGUAUCGGUUUUCUUUUUAAUGAGCUUCUACACUGCACAUAAUCCAUACCAUAUUCCUAUAAAUCUGUGAUGUUUCUAGGAAGAUAGAUUUCGGGGACUAAUUGAAACACAGGCAGGACGCAUCAAAAGUAGUUACCCAAACCAUGAAGAUAGUUUUGAUAGUUUGGUCCUUACAUGUUGUCCAUCAGGGUCCGUCUCCCACUGGGCUCAGCUUUGUAAAGACGCAUUCUCACUAGCAGGAUAUCGAUACACGGAAAAGGAGAUAGUAGCCUUUCAAGCCAGAGCUAAUACAAGACAAGUGGGUAUCCCUAAACACCACACCGUCAAGUUUGGUUUGGUGAUAACCAA